rnacentral:lncRNA from 1 species
UUCCAUGUUCUCUACGUUCCUCUAUGUUCCUCCGCGUUUCACCAGGUUCUUCAGAUCUUCCAUUUUCUAUCGUGUUCUUCAUGUUCCUCCAUGUUUUCUAUCUCUUCCCGUGUCUUCCAUGUUCUCCGUGUUUCUCUGUGUUCCUCUAUGUUUCUCUGCGCCCCCCCAUGUUCUCCACGUUCCACCAUGUUCUUCAGAUGUUCCAUUUUCUUUCAUAUUCUUCAUGUUCCUCUAUGUAUUUCGUGUCUUCUUGUGUCUUCCACGUUCUCCAUGUUCCUCUACGUUUCUCCCCGUUCCACCAUGUUCUUCAGAUCUUCCGUCUUCCUUUGUAUUCUUCAUGUUCCUCCAUGGUCCUCCAUGGUCUUCCAUGUUUAUGUCUUCCUCAUUCUCCGUGUUCCUCUACGUUCUUUCACGUCCCCCCAUGUUCUCCACGUUCCACCGUGUUCUCCAUGUUUUCCAUCUUCCUUUCUAUUCUUCAUGUUCCUCUAUGUUUUUCGUGUCUUUCACGUCUUCCAUGUUCUCCAUGUUCCUCUACGUUCCUCCACGUCCCCCCAUGUUCUCCACGUUCCGCCAUGUUCUUCAGGUCUUCCAUCUUUCUUCACAUUUUUCACGUUCUUCCAUGUUUUCCAUGUUUUUCCAUGUCUUCAAUGUUCUUCAUGUUCCUCUACGUUUCUCCACGUUCCACCAUGUUCUUCAGAUCUUCCGUCUUCGUUCGUUUUCUCCGUGUUCCUCCAUGUUUUCCCAUGUCUUCCAUGUUCUCCAUGUUCCUCUACGUUCCUCCACCUCCCCCCAUGUUCUCUAUGUUCCACUAUGUUCUUCAGAUCUUCCAUCUUCCUUCGCGUACUUCAUGUUUCUUUAUGUUUUCCAUGUUUUCCCACGUCUUCCAUGUUUUCCAUGUUCAUCUACGUUCUUCCCCGUUCCACCAUGUUCUUCUGAUCUUCCAUCUUCCUUCAUAUUCUCCAUGUUUCUCUGUUUUCCAUGUCUUUUCAUGGCUUCCGUGUUCUCCACGUUCCUCUACGUUUCUCUACAUUCC